AGUCUGACAUGUGUGCGAGUC
rnacentral:siRNA from 1 species